UUCCUGGUGGCUCAAACAGUAAAGAAUCUGCCUGCAAUGCAGAAGACCCAGGUUCAAUCCCUGGCUCGGGAU
rnacentral:tRNA from 1 species